rnacentral:rRNA from 1 species
GAUGAACGCUGGCGGCGUGCUUAACACAUGCAAGUCGAACGGAAAGGCCCAAGCUUGCUUGGGUACUCGAGUGGCGAACGGGUGAGUAACACGUGGGUGAUCUGCCCUGCACUUCGGGAUAAGCCUGGGAAACUGGGUCUAAUACCGGAUAGGACCACAUUUUGGAUGGUGUGGUGGAAAGUUUUUCGGUGUGGGAUGAGCUCGCGGCCUAUCAGCUUGUUGGUGGGGUAAUGGCCUACCAAGGCGUCGACGGGUAGCCGGCCUGAGAGGGUGUACGGCCACAUUGGGACUGAGAUCCGGCCCAGCCCCAGAGGGGAGCCAGCGGGGGGAGUUGUUGAAGAAGGGGCGCAAGCCUGAUGCAGCGACCCCGGGUGGGGGAUAACGGCCUGGGGUUUUUAACCUCCUUCCGCGGGGGACAAACCGCAGGUGCCGGUCCCUGGAAAAGAAGCCCCGGCUAACUACGUG